rnacentral:rRNA from 1 species
UGGGGAAUUUUCCGCAAUGGGCGAAAGCCUGACGGAGCAAUGCCGCGUGGGGGGUGGAAGGCCUACGGGUCGUCAACUUCUUUUCUCGGAGAAGAAACAAUGACGGUAUCUGAGGAAUAAGCAUCGGCUAACUCUGUGCCAG